UACGUAGGGGGCAAGCGUUGUCCGGAUUUAUUGGGCGUAAAGAGCUCGUAGGCGGUUCGUCGCGUCGGCUGUGAAAAACCCGGAGCUCAACUCCGGGCCUGCAGUCGAUACGGGCGGACUCGAGUUCGGCAGGGGAGACUGGAAUUCCUGGUGUAGCGGUGAAAUGCGCAGAGUAAUCAGGAGGAACACCGGUGGCGAAGGCGGGAUU
rnacentral:rRNA from 1 species